rnacentral:rRNA from 1 species
UACGUAGGGGGCAAGCGUUAUCCGGAUUUACUGGGUGUAAGGGGAGCGUAGACGGCAUGGCAAGUCAGAUGUGAAAGCCCGGGGCUCAACCCCGGGACUGCAUUUGAAACUGUCAGGCUGGAGUGCAGGAGAGGUAAGUGGAAUUCCUGGUGUAGCGGUGAAAUGCGUAGAUAUUAGGAGGAACACCAGUGGCGAAGGCGGCUUACUGGACUGUAACUGACGUUGAGGCUCGAAAGCGUGGGGAGCAAACAGG